ACGGAAGGCAGCAGUAAGGAAUAUUGGGCAAUGGACGGAAGCCUGACCCAGCAACGCCGCGUGAAGGAAGAAGGCCUUCGGGUUGUAAACUUCUUUUACCAGGGACGAAGGACGUGACGGUACCUGGAGAAAAAGCAACGGCUAACUACGUGCCAGCAGCCGCGGUAAUACGUAGGUUGCAAGCGUUGUCCGGAUUUACUGGGUGUAAAGGGCGUGUAGGCGGAGCUGCAAGUCAGAUGUGAAAUCCCGGGGCUCAACCCCGGAACUGCAUUUGAAACUGUAGCCCUUGAGUAUCGGAGAGGCAAGCGGAAUUCCUAGUGUAGCGGUGAAAUGCGUAGAUAUUAGGAGGAACACCAGUGGCGAAGGCGGCUUGCUGGACGGUAACUGACGUUGAGGCUCGAAAGCGUGGGGAGCAAACAGGAUUAGAUACCCUGGUA
rnacentral:rRNA from 1 species